GCACGACAGCUGCCACACCAGAGGCCAACCUCUCCCGCUCCUCUCGUACUGAGAAGAUCUCCUCUGAGUACGCUGACGCCUACACCGGAGAUGACCGGAGAUGGGACCGAGCUGUCGCACGACGCAGGCCGUCGACGCGCGGCUCGCUGCUGGCUGGCCUGUGUACGACCCUCGGCGGGG
rnacentral:rRNA from 1 species